rnacentral:piRNA from 1 species
AACUCCAAAGGUGAUCAGACAAGGCA